UCGAAUAAUAAGGGUUUCAGAAGAACCCUAGAAUGAGAAAUCCUUUGAAAAGGUUUAAUCUGAGUCGGCGAAGCCAAAACCAGGCUCAAAACACCAUUUUACACGGGAGCAAGGCCAGAGAUGGCCGUAGAACCUUGAAUCGACGGAGAACUGGGCGAAGAAAUUCGAGGUCAGACCUUGAAUCUUCCAGUACCAAGAGUAUAGGAGCAAGGAGAGGUGAGUAUAGGGCUCCCAUGUCCUGAGAAGCCAUGGAUCCCAGUAAGUUUAAGGUAGAAGAUAGUGAUAGGGGCUAGGAUUUUGAGAGAUUCUAAGAGAAGAGAAGGGAUUUCAGAGGCGACGGUUUGAGUGAAAUGAGUUAG
rnacentral:lncRNA from 1 species